AUUGAACGCUGGCGGCAGGCCUAACACAUGCAAGUCGAGCGGAGCGGCGGACGGGUGAGUAAUGCCUAGGAAUCUGCCUGGUAGUGGGGGAUAACUUCCGGAACGGGGCGCUAAUACCGCAUACAAUAAAUGGAGCUUAGGUCGGUUUGGCUAGUUGGUGGGGUAAAGGCUUACAAAGGCGACGAUCCGUAACUGGUCUGGGAGGAUGAUCAGUCACACUGGAACUGAGACACGGUCCAGACUCCGACGGGAGGCAGCAGUGGGGAAUAUUGGACAAUGGGCGAAAGCCUGAUCCAGCCAUGCCGCGUGUGUGAAGAAGGUCUUCGGAUUGUAAAGCACUUUAAGUUGGGAGGCGUUACCAACAGAAUAAGCACCGGCUAACUUCGUGCCAGCAGCCGCGGUAAUAC
rnacentral:rRNA from 1 species